UUUAAAAGAGUUGUCUUUUGCAUGGAUCUUCUUCUUGCUGCUUUGUGCAAGAAGUUACAUUCCCUUCCAAUUAUCUUCACUUAGAAAAUCCCGAUCUAUGAAAGACUUGCAUUUAUUUCAUUGCUUUUGCCUUCAGUUGCAGUAUUGCAGGUGACAGAGCACUGACACAGGUUGCACAGAAGCUGUGGGGUCUCCUGUUGGAGAUCUCCGAAAACCACCUGGACAUGAGCCUGGGCACCCUACUCUGUGUGUGCUGGAGCUGCGAUCGGACAGAUGGACCCAGAAAUUCCUGCCAACCUCAGCCAUUCCAUGAAGAGAUUUUGGCAUAAGUAUGGGCUUAUUGGAUUUCUGCUGCAUAUGUGUGCGUAUGAAUGCACUUUUUUCUGGACCUCUCACACAAAUAUGAAUGCUGUGAAGCUUGUAUGGAUCUGCUUGGAAAUGGUAGCCAGCUUUGUUGAAAUGCAGAACAUCACCCAGCUGGCACAGGGAAAGCAAAUGAUACUCAAGCUUCUGAGUCUCUAUGACUUUGGACUGCAUGGAAGGGAGACUACUGAAGUAAAUUGAGCCAUGGCUUCUGAUGGAGUUAUCCUUGACAUGCAAGAACUACAGUUUUAAACAACAUCUGUAUUCUAUGUGAGGCAAGAGUAUAUAUUAAAAAAAAAGUAAAGAAAAAAAGAAAAAAAUAAAGAGCUCCAUUUAAAAUCUUUCUUUGUUUUGCAGGGAAAUUUUAUAUCAAACCACAAAAUCAUCAUUUUUCUUUUGUGGUAACAAUAUCCACAGCAAAGUUUUCAGAGCUGGAAGUACCGAAGAACAAGAUAGAAUGUUCAAACACAUUUUCUUCCUACACACUUUCUGCUGAAAUAAACUUCAGUGCCAUGUAGGAAACAGUUGUGCCAUAUCAAUACCCUGUUAUAUUCUCAGGCAUUCUCUCAAAAGGAAAACCAACAGCACAAUGCAAAUUUUUAUGCACCUAAGUGAUGUGUGCUCAGAAUAGUGAUUGGCCCCCUGUGGUAUAGAGAAAAAAUGAAAAUCUUUGCUAAUUAGACACCUUUAUAAUAAGGAAAUUUAAUGGUUACUGUUAUGCAAUCAAGAAUGAGAAUUUCUUCUGUUUCAGAGAGCUAUUCUUCACUACUGUGCUACAGCAACCACUAAUUUUAUUUUCUGAUCAAUAGCUUGUAUGUUGAGUUAAUAAAUGUGAAAUGUUAAUGCAGUAUCAAACAGCAAUCUAGGCCUCUGGGUCCUAGUAACAUCCCUUCUAAUCAGCAUGCUUUGCAGUGAUAUAUAGGGCUAUCUAUAGGGACAGAUGAAUCAUACAAUGUGGAGAGCUGCUGUUAGCUCUCAUAAUAAUUCCAAGCUGGACAGGCAUCUCAGAAGAGGAGCAGACCAUCCAUAUUAUUUUACCCUGUUUAUCUAAUAAAAUCUGUGUAAUUGUGAAACUUGUUUUCUCAAGAGAUAUAACGCAUAUUUAUUCUCUGUCUCAGACCAGUUGAGCUAAUAAUGAUUGCAAUCAAUAAGAAAGUCUUUCAUUGGUAUAGUUUUCUAAUAGACACUUUAAGGGUCUCAGGCUCUCAGAUGAACCCACUUAUAUCUUGCGCGUAAUUUACCAGAGACAUCUUGUGAAAAUUACUUAGAGAAGUUAACACUUAUUUUCAUUUGAAGCUUGUGAAAACCCUGCGAGAUCAAGGGAAAGAAAUGAUGUUUUAUCUCUGCACUAGAAUGGCAACUAGCAGAUUCAGUUUUCAAAGGCCUCUGAAAUUACACGAGGAAUGGUCACACGCCAGCCUUCACGUGCAUCUCAAAACAAAAACAUGAGUUUUACACAGGCCAAAACCAUCAUAUGAAAAACAGACAUGCAACACUGCAUGAAAAGUUAAGGGAACACGUUUGAAAAUUUCCCCCUAAUUGUCUAGUUUUGCAGUGCUUGCAAAUGGAUUCACUGCCAAGGUAUAUUUAUGGGACACGUGAAAGUCAUUGUUGCUCUCUUUUUAUUCCUUUUGUCUGCUUUAGUAAUUUGGGUGCUCUAACAUUUUCCAUAUGGAGGUGAUGGCAGCAGAAGGACUCAACGUGAGGCUCUGGGCAUGCUCAUAGCUCUCCUGGGCAGCCAGGUUCCUCCUUGUGGUGUACUGGAGAUAAAACAAAUAGAUGUAAUGGUUUCAUGGUGCCACAAGGCUGACAGCUUUCCUGACUAUGCUGUGAUUCUUGUUAUGUCCUAUUUUUUAUUAAUGUAAAGCCCCAGGCACUAGGCUUAAGAGGAUGUUGGCUUUUCUUUGAAGAAAAUGAGUUUCCAGUCCUCUUCUUUGUGAAAGAAAGCUUCAAGUUGUAACAGAGAUGCAUACAUUGAAGCAUAUGGAUUAAGACUAAAAUUUUUGUUUCAAAACACCACAGGCUCUAAACAGAAUGCCCUAUAUUUCAAAAACCUGGAGCUGUUCAGCCUGGAGAAGAGAAGGCUCUGAGGAGACCUGAGAGCAGCCUUUUGGUAUCGGAAGGGGGGCUGUAAGAAAGAAGGGAACAGAUUCUUUAGCAGGGUCUGUUGUGGUAGGAGAAGGGGAAAUGAUUUCAAACUAAAAGAGGGGAUAUUUAGACUGGAUGUAAAGAAGUCGUUGUUUACAAUAAGGGUGGCGAGGCACUGGGACAGGUUGCCUAGAGUUGUAGUGUGUGCCCCAUCCAUGCAGUCACUCAAGAUCAGGUUGGACAGAGCUCUGAGCAAUCUCUUUUGUCUGUAGGUGUCCUGGUUCAUUGCAGGGGAGUUGGACUAGAUAACCAUUAAUGAUCCCUUUCAACUCAGACGAAUCUAUAAUUGCAUGAUUUUUAAGGUUUAACUCUUGAUUUUGGAAUUAUACACAAUAGUGAUAUCAGAAGUUUUAAAAGUACAUCAUUACUCUUACCUUGCUGUUGUUGCUUUUACUAAUAAUGGCAUUUCUAUCUCAAUGUUUAUACUGGUGCCCGAAG